GACAGAGGGUGCAAACGUUGUUCGGAAUUACUGGGCGUAAAGCGAGUGUAGGCGGUUUGGUAAGUCGGGUGUGAAAGCCCCGGGCUCAACCCGGGAAGUGCACUCGAUACUGCCAAGCUAGAGUAUCGGAGAGGUUGGUGGAAUUCUCGGUGUAGAGGUGAAAUUCGUAGAUAUCGAGAGGAACACCGGUGGCGAAGGCGGCCAACUGGACGAAUACUGACGCUGAGACUCGAAAGCGUGGGGAGCAAACAGG
rnacentral:rRNA from 1 species